rnacentral:rRNA from 1 species
AAGCGUGACGGAGCAAUGCCGCGUGCAGGAUGAAGCCCCUCGGGGUGUAAACUGCUGUCAGGGCUUAGGAAUUUUGACCAAACCCAAAGGAAGGGCCGGCUAACUUCGUGCCAGCAGCCGCGGUAAUACGAAGGGCCCGAGCGUUAAUCAGAAUCACUGGGCUUAAAGCGUGCGCAGGCGGAAACGUCAGUGUCUUGUGAAAUCCCACGGCUCAACCGUGGAAUUGCAGGGCAUACUGCGUUUCUUGAGGUCGGUAGAGGUCGCCGGAACUCUAGGUGUAGCGGUGAAAUGCGUAGAUAUCUAGAGGAACGCCGAAGGUGAAGACAGGCGACUGGGCCGAUUCUGACGCUCAGGCACGAAAGCGUGGGGAGCAAACAGGAUUAGAUACCCUGGUAGUCCACGCCGUAAACGUUGUGCACUAGAUCCUGGAGGUACUGACACCGUCGGGGUCGAAGAUAACUUGCUAAGUGCACCGCCUGGGGAGUACGGUCGCAAGGCUAAAACUCAAAGGAAUUGACGGGGGCUCACACAAGCGGUGGAGCAUGUGGCUUAAUUCGAGGCAACGCGAAGAACCUUACCUGGGUUUGACAUGCUUGGAUUAGCCUGUCGAAAGACAGGUGACGCUAAUUCUAGUGGAACUUGCACAGGUGCUGCAUGGCUGUCGUCAGCUCGUGCUGUGAAGUGUCGGGUUAAGUCCCUUAACGAGCGAAACCCCUGCCGCUAGUUGCCAUCAGGUCAAGCUGAGCACUCUAGCGGGACUGCCGGUGUCAAACCGGAGGAAGGUGGGGAUGACGUCAAGUCCUCAUGGCCUUUAUGCCCAGGGAUGCACACGUGCUACAAUGGUAGGUACAACGCGACGCGAUGCCGCGAGG